UAAAAAAACCAAGUUGCUUCGCAAGCAAAUUAGCAGCGCAGUACUAGAGCAUCAACAUGGAAGAUAUAUGGAAGAGAGCGAAGCUCUUCGCUGAAGAAGCGGCCAAAAGAUCCCAAACCCUAACCUCAUCCAACAAAAUCGCUGAACUAGUCGCCGAGACCGCUAAGAAAUCCAAAGAACUCGCAUUCGAAGCUUCCAAGAAAGCCGAUCAACUAAAAGUCGCCGCUUUGAAACAAGCCGAUCAGAUCCAAAUCAAGUCCAUUUCAGAUAUCAUCCCUCAUCAGCUCUCCUCUCUCUCGAUCGUGAAUUCUUCUUCUUCUUCUUCUUCGGUCUCUACGGCUUCUGAUCCAGAGGAGCUUCAGAAGUUUGGAAUUACAGAAGAUUUGAGAGAUUUUGUCAAGGGAUUGACUUCUAGUACAUUCCAUAACUUCCCAAUUCAAGAUGAAGCUGAGGUGUCUGAUGUGCCUACUACGGCAUCGAAUGUACGGAAAGAUCUUAAUGAGUGGCAGGAGAGGCAUGCCACUCUCGUUCUCACUAAUGUGAAGGUGAUUUGUGCUUUUAAACAUUAGUGGUUCUCGUUUUGUGUAGUUAAGUAUUUGAUCAGGCAAAUUAUAGAUAUAUUAUUGCUGGAACAAUAAUUUGAAUUUGCUUUUUACAAUCAUGUUACUAUUAUUAGACAAAAUGCUGCAGCGGUUAUUGGGUUUCUGACAUCUAUUUUUUGAAGCUGCAUAAUGCUAUAGCACCUGUCUCCUCAAAACUCAACUUGUUGAUGUUUCUCUCUAAUUUGCUAAAGAUUUUUGCUUUACCAUAUAUGCUUGGUUUCACUUUUGGAUUUGUUAAUGUAAAUUUCAUAGGAAAGUAGUUUAUUUCAGUUUCUAUUCUGUGAUAGCUUAGAGAUUGAUGUGAAGAGAAGAGCAAAAAGCAUGAAUUUAAAGAAAAGAAAGAGAAUAUGGCUGUACCAGAAAGAUGAUAUGUAUAACCGUUUUUGUUUUAUUACUUGCUAAAGGUAGCACAAAACAUUUUCUUGUAGCUUAUCAAUCAUGGUUCAUAUCCGUCUUGGUAUUAUUGUCAGUUCUCUCUUUUAACUCUGGGCUAUGUUUUGUUACUCUAUCAUAUCAUUUGCUGCUUAUUUAUUUAUUUUUUUAACUUUGGUUUCUCUUUGUUGCAUAUUAAUAUUGUUGCUUGUAGGGAAAGAUAUUAAUAUUGUGCUUGUAUUUCUUUUUGCAUCAGAAUUUGUGAUUCAAAGAUGGAGUUUAUAAUUUACAAUUGCAUGGCGAGAUUUUCAUUUUGUCAUUCAAUGUUUUGAAUUGUACUCUCUAAAUAGUGUUGGCAUAUAUAUAUAUUUUUUGUGAUGAUUAUACUGAUGCAGCAAAUCUCGAAGCUAAGAUAUGAAUUAUGCCCACGUGUGAUGAAAGAAAGGAGAUUCUGGAGGAUUUAUUUUACGCUUCUGAGCACUCAUGUUGCACCGUAUGAGAAGCAGUAUAUGGAGGAGAUCAAGCGCAAAGCAGAAGAGCAGAUAAAAGAUGAAAAAUCGACUCAAAGUGCAAUAUCUGGAGAGAAUUCUAGGUCCGAGGUGACAGAAAAGAACCUGAAAAGCAAGAUAUCAACUGCAUCAUCAGCUGAGCAGGACCUGGACACUUUUCUUUUGGGAGAUCUUGAAGAAAGUGAUGGGGGUGCAGGUAUAUUCUUUGAACACUUAAUUGCUAUGCCAUAUAUUUCUGUUGAUGGUGAGUUAUGGCACAUUUUCUAGUGAACAACUAAAGCAUAUCUAUUGCCCACAUGCAGCUUGGUCCACAUCUUGGAUUAUUGCUGCUUGUAUGCUGAAUGAUGAAUAUGGCAUCAUAACAUGGAGCAUGGCUAUAAUGACAAUGUGAUGAAAAUAAGUUGGUAUGCUGAAAUAUGCACAUACAUUGUCUCAAGUUAUUGAAAGUUGAAAUCCUAGAAGGCUAGAAUGCCCUCAUAAUUAGAAGCUCAGAUUUCAAAUGCAUUGGACAAAUUUUUCAAUUUCAAAAUGGACAUGGUAUGGAUUUGACUCCUAAAAGAAACACUGAUAUCCCAUAAUCAAAUGCUCGAAAUCCUUUUUGGCUUUUAUAGUCCGGUGCACUGCAUUGUGUUAAUCGAUGUGUAAUCCUUUGUCAAGGUGCAAACUUUGUUUUGCAGAACAUUCAGUUGGGUUUGAUAAUUCGUGAAUGUACUGGCUUAUGUGGAAUAGGCAAAGAACUCAGACCUCACAUAAUUCAUUAGAAAUGAUACAUUAACUGGAGUUACCGUUAUAUUAUCAUAUCUUCAAAGUUUUCUUUUUAUGUACAUUCUUUU
rnacentral:misc_RNA from 1 species